rnacentral:rRNA from 1 species
UACGGGGGGGGUAAGCGUUGUUCGGAAUUACUGGGCGUAAAGGGCUCGUAGGCGGCCAACUAAGUCAUACGUGAAAUCCCUCAGCUUAACUGGGGAACUGCGUGUGAUACUGGAUGGCUUGGAUUUGGGAGAGGGAUGCGGAAUUCCAGGUGUAGCGGUGAAAUGCGCAGAUAUCAGGAGGAACACCGGUGGCGAAGGCGGGUCUCUGGGCAGUAACUGACGCUGAGGAGCGAAAGCGUGGGGAGCGAACAGG